UCUGGUUUCUUCUGUGAACAUGAGUGGCUGGGCGACUGGAACUUCAGGCACUGCACCAGCAUACAUCCCAAACCUGUCAAGUGAAUGGCAGGGGGCGGCAGUGCCUGUCUCAUCUCUGCUUUUGGAAAAGAUCAGAACCCGAGCUUCCUGAUGGCACAGCCAUACUGCUGUUUCCAUAGCAGAUCUCAGAAAAGAUGUUCCCCACAAGACAUAUAUAUACACACAACUAUUUUCAGGAUAGCAACUGAUCACAGCUACUGUCCAGUGACCAGUCAGAGAAGAAAUCAUUGAAUUAUCCUUGGUGUUAACGGAAUUUACAGAUUCCUCCCACUUUUCAGGAUGACUGACUUUACCUCACUUUAUGUUCAAAACUCACAUUCAGAAAAGUUACAGAAGUUGUGUUCAGAGAACUAGUUUCCACAAAACUUUAUUGAAGCUGCAAAGAAGGCAUAGAUUUUUAUCUUCAGUUCACAAAAGAUGCACCGUCAAGAAAGCAAGAGGCUGUAGGUGUCUUCUAAGUCAGUACUGCAUAAGAUCCCAUUCUAUGUGGAAAAUUGUGGGUGCAUAUAUUAAAAUAAUAAUCCACAUGGAUGCCUCAUCCCCUUUCAUUGGAAAAAUAUGUCAGUUUGUGGUCUUUCACUUCUGAAGAAAAGAAAGACAAUUGAUUCUCAGGCCUUACACAAGCUAUUCCAAACUUUUUUGCUAACCUAAGCAGAUUUCACUGUUCCUCAACUUUUCUGCUACCAAGACUGUAUGCAACAUCCAUCACAAGGAGCGU